rnacentral:rRNA from 1 species
UACGUAGGGGGCAAGCGUUGUCCGGAUUCAUUGGGCGUAAAGGGCGCGUAGGCGGCCUGUUAAGUCGAACGUGAAAUCCCCGGGCUCAACCCGGGAACUGCGUCCGAUACUGGCAGGCUUGAAUCCGGGAGAGGGAUGCGGAAUUCCAGGUGUAGCGGUGAAAUGCGUAGAUAUCUGGAGGAACACCGGUGGCGAAGGCGGCAUCCUGGACCGGCAUUGACGCUGAGGCGCGAAAGCCAGGGGAGCAAACGGG